rnacentral:ncRNA from 1 species
CCCGUCGCGAGGCGGAAUCUGAAGGAAGCCGAAGCCCCCAGUCGGGAGCCGACGAACAGGAACCGGAUAUCAGGCCGGCGUGGCGGGGUCAGCGGGCAACGGACCGCGAAGCCCAAUCUCACUCGGACGCACACGCGGGUAAAUCCGGCGGUCGCUCGACGAAGCAACGCAACUUAC